rnacentral:lncRNA from 1 species
GUGAUUUUUUGGCCCAUCGAGGGCCCUAGGGUUGUUUUAUCGUAGGAACCAAUGCAAGUUUGGCUGAAUUUGGCCGAAAACGGUCAACUCGAGGUGGAAAGCCGCCGCAGGCGGCUGUGCUUUCGCCGAAGCACGGCGGAGCCGUCGUGUCAGAAUUUCGAUAUUGGCCGAAAAAGGUCCUUGGGUCUGAUUUGGGGUUUUUUGGGACACGUGCAGGUACCAGUAGUGCGUUUCAAUU